AAUUUUGGACAAUGGGCGCAAGCCUGAUCCAGCCAUGCCGCGUGUGUGAAGAAGGUCUUCGGAUUGUAAAGCACUUUACGUUGGGAGGAAGGGUCGUAGAUUAAUACUCUGCAAUUUUGACGUUACCACAAGAAUAAGCACCUGCUAACUUGGUGCCAGCAGCCGCGGUAAUACGUAGGGUGCCAGCGUUAAUCGGAAUUACUGGGCGUAAAGCGCGCGUAGGUGGUUUGUCAAGUUGGAAGUGAAAGCCCCGGGCUCAACCUGGGAACUGCUUUCAAAACUGGCAAGCUAGAGUAUGGCAGAGGGUGGUAGAAUUUCCUGUGUAGCGGUGAAAUGCGUAGAUAUAGGAAGGAACAUCAGUGGCGAAGGCGACCACCUGGACUGAUACUGACACUGAGGUGCGAAAGCGUGGGGAGCAAACAGG
rnacentral:rRNA from 1 species